CUCCUUUAGACCCUAAUACCCAAAACAAAGCCAAUAUGAGAUAGGAUUGUUUAUUUACUAUUAUUUAGAAUUUGUUACAACUUUCAGUAAAGGAGUUGGAGUGUUGUUUGGUAUUUGGUGAAGGUUGAACUGAGUAUUGGGAAUUCCCUAUAUCUGAUUGUGUUCUCUUUCUGAAGCUUCUGUAAUCGACUAAAGAAUGGGACAUUAUGGUUGUGAUUAUUAUUGUCAUAAUUGAUAGUCUUACUAUGUUGGAAAGUGUUUUAAUCUUAGGAACAGUGACUGCAGAAACCUUUUUGUUGAACCUUUCUUAUCAUGAAGCAAAUAGAAGCAGAAUCUAAUAUUUUUUUAACAUUUCAUGCUUAUCUUGAAAUUAUGCUGAUCAUAUGUUUCUCUUCUCAAACCUUAUCAUUUUCCUCACGG
rnacentral:misc_RNA from 1 species